GUUCUUUCAACAAGUAUGCUUCGAUGAUAUCCCGUUUUACACACUGUGGCAUAUGUGUAGAUACAAGGGCUCCAUCAAAUCUUUGCUGCCACACAGUGCUGUCUGGAGAAAGAACUUGUGAGAUGUUUGGCUUUGAGUAUGAUGGGUCCAAUUGUAGAGAAAUGUGGUGGUGUUCAGAGAGGAUCUUAUUGACCUUUUUCGUUUCUUUGGAAAUUCCUUUGCAAAGUCUUUUAGCAAUCUUUUGACCAUCUACGUGAUGUAUGUCACCGCUGUUUCACAACAAUGAAAAUUCACCACUUAGUUUAUCAGGAUGUAGUACAUGAUUAUGACAAGAUAAUACAUUCCACCAAACCACAAACCAGUGGAAGUUGGGGGCUGUUUUAGAGCAUCCCAUUGUGGAGGGGGGGUUCCUAAGUAUGUGAAAAAUGUGACUGUGUGGAAGUAUAGAGCAUAUGCUUUCCCUAGAUACCAGUUUGAUAAAAAUUGAUCAAUCCCAGCACAAGCUGUAUUGGUUUGUACAAGUACAUCAUUGUAGACGUCAUGUGAGGUGUCUUUGGCAAAAAAGUACCACUGCCGGAGAAUGUGUUUUGCAAGACUAGCAACCGUUACUAUUUGAAAAGGUGGAGGUCUGCAUGCAAUGGUGGAUGGUGCUAUGUAAACAUAGUGCUGUUUCAUCAUACAUCGGAGCCUCUCCACACCAUUUGGAAUGUUGCGAUAUGUAACUUUUAAAUUGUUAAAAUAGGCGUGGAUCGCCUCAGCCCCUUGCUCUCCCAUGAGUCCUAUUCCCACCUGCCACUGGUCCAGCCAAUCAACCACAUGCUUCUCUAGCAUGUGCAUCUUUGGUAUGACGGUUGCUUGAGGAAAUUGCUCCCGAUAAAAUGUCAUAAAGGUGGAGAUGUGAGUACCUUUGGAGUAAAUUUACAUGAGUUAGGGUGACACAAAACUUCCGCUGGAUCUUCUCAGCACUCGUAACUAUGGACGGCUCAUAACUGCUUGCUCUGAGUACAACGGCAUUGCAGAGUUUCUCAAUGUUCCUCACCUGUAGAGUGAUAUUCAAAAGUCACUCAUGAAGUUUGAGUAUGAAGGGCCACCCCUCUCGCGACUAUCUUCAAACCAUGAGACUGCAUUGUCAAGCACAUGACAUUCAUCCUCCAUCAAUUGGAAGAGCCGGUAAAAAAUCCCUAAACUGAUGUGCAGUCCUGGAGGGCAAACCUGCAUUUCCAUUUUGGAAUAAGGAUCCCUCCGGCUGCAAUGAAGCUGUGGUGGUCUGUGACCAUACUGGCAGUGCUUCUGCUUUGAACAGUAGUGGGCGGGCUCCUUAGCUGUUCUGAUGUUGUCAAGCACCACAAGCAACAGUGCCGACCUGUUCAGAAUUUCACGUAAAGUAAGGCUGUCCACCUCAUCUUCGAACCUCUGUAGUGCGAUCUUCAAGUUGGUAACGUUGUCGGGAGCCUCAAAAACACAAAAAGCACAGGUAUUAACAGGGGAAUUAGGAUGCUCUACAUUACAUAUCUGAAAUACCAUCUUAAAACUCCCUCCUCCCUUAUCUCCACCCAACUUGACCCAGAUCUCGUCAGCAGGUAUCUUCCCUUCAUGCCAAGUAAGCCGGUGCACUCUAAAAAGAAUAAAAUGUUUGCACAGUCUCUUAAUUGGUUAAUUAAAUUGUACCUUCUCUCAUCGUCAUCAUUGGAAUUAAGAAUGUGUUGGAUCUUCUCCCAGAGAUGUGGUGUAUAACACAUGGGAACAUUCUUAAUUUCCACAGUGUGCCGGCCAUCCUUGACUGGAAAUGUGAAGGGAACAAGCUGACACUUAAGAUUAUCUAUUCCUAUGAGAGAGUUAGCUUCAGCCCGCAUCUUCUUCUCAGACGCUAUUUUUACACUGGACCCUAACAUUCUAGAAGGAAAAAUUAAAAGAGCUUGUUCCUGGGAAUCAUGAGAACAGACUGGAUACCUAAACUUUGGCUGACUGAAAACGUAACCUGGAAGCACCCUGCCGUCUUUUUCAGCUCUUCUAUCAACUUAUCCCGAUCUUCCUUCCCUGCAGUCUUGACCUCGUUGCUCAUCUGCUGUACCUCCGCACCACCGCUCACUCUCUUCCUGAUGUCCUGCAGCUCACUACUGCGCCGUCUCAGGGUGGUUUGGCUUGCAGUGCCGCUGGACACGCUAGAAUGCUGGAGUUGCGCAUACUGCGCUUGAUGAGGACAGUUUUCAGUUUCUCUUCAAAUGGGGACAAGGACAGUUCUUCAGGUCUGCUUAACAAGUCUGAAGGGCUGAGGGCUGCUGGUUUGAAGUGUGUGCAUGCACACUUGCUGUCAUGGUGGGCCUUGUGGUGUUUUAAGCACCCGUGUUUCCUGCACACACUGCACGUGACCUCAAGGCUUCCCAAGGCUCUCAAAGUGAUCUCGGAAGGAGGUUGUAUUGCUUCAAGAUCAUCAAGAUGUCCUGAUUGGCAACAAGGGCAUGAUGUCGUCUGAGACUCUUGUAGACACUGGCACAGACAAUCUGCACAGACAAGACUACCGCACGUCUUGAGUUCUAUAGGUUUGUCUACUAUCUUUUUACAGAUAGGACAGUCAAAACAACCUUGCGACGGUAGUACUGUGUCUUGUUCGCAGAAGGUGGAGGGAGCUAUCAGCUUGAUGUGCUGGAUGGCUGACUGAAAUGAGCCUUUUGCCGGUCUGCCAGGUUUGUAUUGCUUCUUCGGCCUCCCACCAACACUGAGGUCGUCGUGCCUGUCAGAGCAGACAUAUCUCCGACCUGAGGGACCUUUCUUGUUCUUAAAGAGAGAUCCACAAACCCUGCAGUGCCUGCAAAGUGCCUCAAGAUGUUCUUGACUCAUUCCUGAAGGUUGAUGCAAAUGAAUUGUCUGUUUUUGUUCAUUAUAUAUCAAUGUGCAUGUGUAAAUAUCGUAAAUUUGUGUCAUGUUUCAGACCUAUAUUGUUGCUGCCAAAAAAUU